UCCGCCUCUCUUGCCACAGCACCUGGGAAAAGGGAGGGGGUAAAUCCCACCAGCUUUGAGCAACAGGGCAGAAAACUACUAAGAAAUAAAAUUUUGUGCUUUGGCAUCAUAGUCAGGAUAUACUUCCUGAAACAGAUACAAAUUCCAGCUGCAGCAAAGCCCACCACUGCAUUUAGAAACCCUUCAGCAAAAACACUGGAAAAGCAAAGCUGAUGUCUGGUGAGCGGGAGCUCCAGAGGAUUGACGUAAACAUGGGGAAUGAGCAGACAGUGAACAGCUUCCACUGCCUUUUGUUCUAGCUGCUACUGCAAUAUCUCCCACAGCCCCAGCAGCCUCUGCUUGGCCCGACUGGUAGAGGUGGGAUGGGGAGCUGCUCUGAACAACAGCGGCAGCUUCACUCAGCAGAGGGAACUGCUAUGCCUGAGAUUUUUUUGCUUGUAUCUUUUUAAAGGCUCUUUAGUGGUUUAAUGGGAUGUUUCAUUGACUCAUGACCCAUCAAAUCAUGUUGUAGCACACCUGUGAGUGCUUGGGACUAAUUAAAAAUGCAAAUAGCAGAGGGAAACUCGAGGUGACCCCCUUUUUCUGUCCAAAUGCAACUGUGUACUUUUUCUGCCUUUCCGCUGUGCCACAGAGAGCUUUGGAUUACACCUGACACCAGGGCCAUUGGAGCAGCCUUGGGUCCCACAGUGACACUGUCUGCUCCGUGUCUCCCUGAGAAGCUGGCCUCGGCAGGGCAGCAAAAGACAUUUGUGCAGGGGCUUUGCAGAAGCAGGGCAGAGAUGAAGACUACGUCCCAGCGGCCUCUGCCCAUGACAACAGCACCUUGACAACAGCAGACUCGAGGACCCUGGCUUCUUUGACAUCUCAUCCAAGUUCUCACUCACUAUUUUCAAGGACCCUCAGAUGCCCAAAUCACACCACAGAAAAUUGAUAAACGGUGAGGAAUAAACCCAAACAGAAACAUCGUAAUGCAGCACUUGACCUUGGCCUCUGCCACUCCAAACUCCUGUCAGAGGCAUCAAAAGGAAUUUGAGCUGAUUGCGCAGCAUCUUCCCUGCUCCAGCCCAUCCUUUGCAGCACAGGUAUGGCAGAGUCACAGACAAAUGCAAUACAUCUUGAUUCCUCCCAAAACAUAAGCCAACCUGACACAGGGAUUCUGCGAGACCAAGAAUUUGUGCGCACAGAUUAGUUGGGGGCAAUGGUUGUAACUGUAUCUCAUUUGGCUGCACUGCUCCUCAUCCAGAGGUGAGAGGCUGCUAAGAGCCUCAGCAGGCAGUACCUUGCUGCAGGUAUCAGUCUUGAUCUGGCACAGGACUGGGAGAUCUCCAUGUAGGCGGCCAAGGUUUAUUAGAGAAAUUGUUAAAUUACAAUGACUUGUAUACAAAGAUAAGCUGCAGUGCCUUCUGAAAGGCAAAGGUGCUUCUGACCCAUAGAGACUGAUAUAGGUUACCCAGACACCAGUGACUACAGCAGGCUUGACAGUAAAUAAUGAUCACCUUGUAGUUCAUCUUAGUGGAGUCACAAUUUCUUCUACCUAGUACAUCCAAUGGGAUGUGUACAUUGUAUCAGCACAUAACUACACCUCCUGCCGGCUGUCUUUCUGUCACCAUCUAUCUCAACAGCAUCUCUUCUGUCCCCGCUCCAUCCCGGGAGCUAUCCCCUCCCUCAUUUGCUGUGUUUAAAAAUCUAGAGCAACACAUCUCUAUGAAGCAUUUCUAAAUUCAACAUGAGGCUGCUCUCAUCUUUAACUGAAUGGGGGAAUAGGAAGAUGCAGAACUCAACUCUUAUUAGACCUUUAAACUAAAAUUAAGAAGAAAGAAAACCCCAAAACAAAAUCACUGUUCAUUUCUCAUGGAGAAUUCAAACCCUUCACUGGUAUGUUCCUAGGAAUGUUUUUUUUUCUGCUUGCAACAGUUAGCAAUCACAGAGCUGUAUCCCAGAGCACUGUGACAUUGUCCUGCUGGUGAGAUGAGCCGUCAGAGGGCCACACAGAACAGUGCUGCUGUCCACACAGCCAGCACGAGGCUGGCAGUCAGUCUGGGUAUGGGGUGGGGGCGCAGGGAUGGGGUGCCCGAGGUGCAGGAGCAGACCUCGUAGCCAUUCUUCGAGCGGCUCUCGUCGUGCUGUCCCGGCCUGGAGCGCGCUCCUGUCCUGCUGCUCCCGGCUGCCUCGGGGGCAUCAGCCUGCAUGUCACUGCACACCAGCCAGUCCCUGGCGAUGGACUGUGGGUAUCUGGGCUGCACCUCCAGAUCACUGUCCAGCACCUUCCAGUACUCCUUGCCCUUGAAGAAGUAACUUGCACCUGCAAAGAGACCAAAACCCAAACACGAGGUGAGUAGCAGUGGAUGCCGUCCCAGAGGAAGGUCAGAGGAGCACUUGGAGCAGCAGAGGAGCAUUCCCACCCCAGCUGAGGCCCGGGGAGCAGAGGCGCAUGAGAUAUCACUGCUUGUUAUCAACAUCCCCUCUCGCUGCAGGAGGGAUGCUCCAGAAGGGAAGGUAAUGCUGUGCCUGCCCAGGAUCUCUCACAUCAGCAAGGAGCCACCAGCGGCUGGAGGUCACCUGCUCUGUGUCGAGUCCCAGAGCAGAUAUGCCUCCCAGUACUGUGCGUGUGUAGCAUCAUGGCCCUGUGAACCCACAGCUGGACACAUCAUGCUCUACUCUUCUUCUUGUAAUAGGGCAUGGUAAAGCUGGAGACCCCACUAUCCAUUAAUGACUUGGGGUGUGUGCUUCUGACCCUGGGCUCAGAAAAAUAAUCUGAGUCUGACAGGGCCUUGGGAACCUUCUGCUUUAGGUGCAUAUUUUCCACUCUGAACUGGGAGGCUGUAAAUUCUCUAAGCAGGCCCCAUGCUCAGGAGGACUCCUACCUAUGGGAAUGUCACUCUCAAUAGCUUUGGAAAUUCAGCUUAAAAAGUCUCUGGAAGUAGCCUUCCCCUCUGCCUGGUUUAGUGAUUGCCAUUACACUGUUAGGUAGCCAGUAAAUAAACCUUGGAAGUGCCACUUUGUUGUGAGUGAAUAGCUGAUUGUAAAUAUCUCCUGUGACAAAGUUUUUGUGGUCUUUUCAGGGGAAAGAAACCACUGAGAAAUCUCAACAGACAAUAAGUUGUAACUCGGGGAAAACAUCUUUAAAAGUAUUUUCUGUCUGCAUCCUCAUAUAUGCAGCCAAAAAUUCAACGACAACAAGACUGGCAAGUAACAAAUCAGCCCAUACUAGGAUAAAAAUCACAUGUCAACUGUGUUCUUUCAACGAAGUGCAACAAUUAUCCCCCCAGGAUAUUUUUGUUGCCUGUUUAAAAUAACAAAGUCCUCUAGUGAGCAGUAUGGGGAACUCUGGCUGGAAUCGCACCUCCCUCUUCAGCUUCCAGUCACCAGGAACGUCCUAUCAGGGCUCAGCGUUUGUGUUGGCAGGCAGGGGAGAAGGGGCUACAGCUCAAUAGAGCACUGAUUUCCUUUGCCGUGCUUUUUUAAACUGCCAUAUGGACUCACCAUCUGACCACCUCAUGGCAUCAUCUAAAGGGCUGGGUAUUCCCUUCCACGGAAUGGCCUCUGAAGGAUAGCCGGGAUCCAUCCUCCGCUCAUGGUCAUCGUAGCACCAGUAGAGGGUGUCCUUAAAGAAAUAAGUCUUGUCAUUGUGAGCCCAGGAGAAAGCAGCAUCGAUUCCUCCCAGGGGCAGGCCAAAGUCUGAGAUGGGCCGUGGGUACCCUUCCUCCACAUUGUUGUCUUUGAAGACCCAGUAUCUGUCUCCUGUGGAAAGGAAACAAGCACAGAAAAAAAUCACAUUUGUUUCACAGCCAAAACCAGUAUUUCUGCACAGAUGAGCAACAAAUACUGAAAAGAGAAAAGGUCAAAGGAGGAAGGCACCACCUGUGAGUGUGUGUAGGGGUAGUUCCUGCUUCUGUUUCAUUCUUGAGAAGGUCAGAUUUUUGUUACAUUUGGCUGAACUUUAUCUUCAAUGACAUUUCCCCCAUUUUCUGGGGAACAUGACCAUUACCUUUUGCUUGCCCUCCCUGCCAGCUCAUUUCUCCUGGCCUUACUCACGGACAACAGGAUUCAGACCGGCACUCGAGAUGUUUAGCAUGUGGCACUGGUGUCUCCUGCCUAGCACCGCGUUCUAUACCUCCAGCACCAUGUUUGCUCUCACCUUUGAAAAAGACAAUCUUGUGGUCACUAGUUCUCUCGUAGACUGCGUCCAGGCUGUCCAGGUUGAGCGGCAAGCCCCGCCAGAAACGGUGAAUCUGAGCCGGCUGGAGGGAGACCAAGUGCUUAUUGCGAGUCAGUCUCCAGAAGUACUUGCCUGGAGGGACAGACUGGACAUUACUGAACCACACUCAACCCACCUUCCCUGGGGGGUGAAUGUCGGGUGGGUGGCAGCAGCAGGAAGCAAAGCAUGUGAGAUGGGAGGCAUUCUUUAGAGUCAUCCUGCUUUCCAGCAGCAGCUGCAACUGCUUUCUAUUUCUGGCAGUCAUUAGAAGAAAUCCCUUUCUUUUUUGGAUUAAAAUAAUCCUCUGGACAUUGCACUGGAGCUGUUAUACUCCUGGCCACAGUGUGAGGCUCUUCCCUCCCUCUCUGCUUGGGACCUCCUGCAAGCUGGUGGGACCAGGCACUGCCAGUCUUAAGCAAAAGCUUCCAAAAAAAAUAUCCCUGUUCCUCCUCUCCUGGAGCAGCCACAGCUUCCUGCACACAGGAUGUCCUGCUGCUUUCAUGUUUGGAAAUGUCUAGGAUGUUACAAAGAAACAGAAAUACCAGACGAGUUGUUUUGUAGUGAAGAAAAGGAGUGAGAAAAUAAAGGAGGAAGAAAACAUCUGAAUAGAUCUGGAAGGGUUGAGGUGGGGAAGGAGGCAGUUAAGGACUUAGGUACCAUCUAGAGGUGCAGCAUACUAAGCAGAGACUGCAGUCCUGUGGAGCUUCUAGGACGAAUGUACUGGUGGUGCCAGCAAAUGCACUUCAACACCUGCAGCAGCACUGCCCCAUCUAGGAAAGAGUAUUUUGGGGAUUUCUGAAAUGUUUUGGAUAGUGUAAAAGAAAACAGAUUUAUUCUUUGUGGGAAGGAUGACAAACUUUUUCCUGCUGAAAGAGCCUUAUACGGGAUUUCCCGAGGAGUCAAUGGUUUUCAGGGGCAACUCCAAACCCAAUUUUGUGUUGGUUCUGGGAUUCUCGGCCUUUCUGCCACACAUUUCAUGCUGUGUUUUCUCCAGAGAGCUCCACACAGUGACAUGAGCCAGAGCAAGAUGUUUAGGAGGCAACUCUCAACUUUGUCUUGUAUUGUUAUUGUCCAUUAGAAAUUAUGGCACAUUAUUUGCGCCUGGUCUUGCAUGAAUUUCUGGGGGGACAUAAGCAAUAGAAACCAAAGAUGCAUCUUCAGAUUUCUAUGUCCCACACACUCACCUUUUUUUCUCCAGAGCUGGCAAAUUGUGACACCAGCUUUUAAAAUUUUACAGAAGUUGGAUCCUAGCCUAAUAAUGCAGGAUACAAGACACUUUAACAUCUGCAGAGAGGGAGUUUUAUUCUAAUUAUAAGGCUUUUUAUCAUAUUCUCGUUCUUCUGCUCCAGAUUGCUUAUUUUCUCUGUCUUACUGAAACAGAAAUUAAUAAUAAUAAUCCAAUAUGGUAGGAAUUGCCAUAAUUACAGAUUCUUUUUAAGAAUACAAAAAAAUCCUGAGGAUUCAAAUUUGGUGGCCAUUUUACAUCAAUGGAAACAUAUGUAAUUAAAUAAAGAUGAUUGCUGCAUCUGUAAUUAGCAAGGCACUAGACAAGGUCAGAUUUCCACUUUUUUAGCAAGAAAUCCAGCUCAACUUAAUUCCUUCUUUAGCAGAUCAACACCUAAACUUCCAAGUGCCCUGGGCUCAUUGCAGACACAAAGGGAAGCCUCAAUACUUUUGACACUUUGUCCCUUUGCAAGUUUUGGGCUCAGCUGGUUAGGCACUGCAGCAGGGAAACCUUGAAUCUACCCCAAAAGUCAGGAAUAAAUAGCCUGAGCUGUUGGUGACUUUGGUUGGGUUUUUAUAAGCUAUCAGGAAGAAGAAAGAAAAUAAAGCACUUAAGUAGCAAGGAAUUCUGAAUGAGACAGCCCCAGUCUGCCUGGGCUCAUGGUCUGCCAUGGCCCAGCCUGCUCACCAAAGUGCUGCUGUUGCAUGGAUGAUCAUCAGCUGAAGCCAGAUCCAUGGGAAAACUGCUGCCAUUAGCAUGCAGAAAUAAUUUUAAAAAACCACCAAAAGAACAACCUCAUAUUUGUUUAAAAACCUCAAUUUAAACCCUUCUCUGAGCUGAAAAACUGAACACGAUGAAAGCCGAGUGUGAGGUCCUGCUGCACCAAGAUAUGGACGAUGGGUUGAGGCAAUUGCUUGCUUUAAUUUCAGGUAAUUUUGAUCCCAGCUGUGUUCCACACUCUCCAGACUUUGGCAAGACUGCUGCACACACCAUGCAGACGCACACACAGGCCAAACGUGUUUAAAACUUUGGGAGUCUGUGGUGAGGCACCUUCAUCAAAGUAAGUAGUGAUUCCAAAGAGCAGAGAACCACCAUUACCUUCAAAACAACAAGCCUGUGAGGUCUGGGGAGCUCCAGUCCUGGUGCCUUCGUGGUGGCUUCUUUCCAUCUAGGGAGCCAGCAGGACCAGCUCAGAACAAAAUGCCUACCGGGGGACAAAACUCAGCACUAGAGAUUAUUUACUCUGCCCCAGAGGUGACAUCCCCUCUUCUUGGUGCACAGGAUGGUUCAGGGGGCAACAAUGGGAGCUGCAAGUAAAGUGCUGGCAGCAGAUGUGCAGCUGGCAUCCACUGACCCGGUGCUUUUUACAUCUGCUUUUUGGCCUGCAAUAAAUAUAUCCAAAAAUAGA